rnacentral:misc_RNA from 1 species
UGAACCUAUCUAAAUCUUAGCAUUUUGGAAGUAUAUACACACAGGUUUUAUGUUCAUUUACAUAGCUUAAUCAAUUUAUAGUCAUUAUCAUGAACACACAGUAAUUUAAUACACACACUUUUUUCUUUUUGGCCAGUAUAAGAUAAGUAGGUAAAAGAGAAAAAACUAGAAAUUAACAAUAUAUAAAACGUAAGUAAUAUACCAGACGGAAAUCAUCUUUUAUGUAAAUGAUAAACGUAUUUAUAGAUUGAAAAAUCACUUAAUCUGGAGAACGCUUGC